rnacentral:lncRNA from 1 species
CAUUAAGGACUGGUUUUUAUCUUUUAUUUUUCCAAUCCUCUUUCCUUCUCAAGGUGUCCAAGACACACAGAGCCACAGAAUCUCACAGAUGUCUGAGAAUUCCUCCUCCUGGGACUCUCAGAGGAUCCAGAACUGCAGCCGGUCCUCGCUUUGCUCUCCCUGUCCCUGUCCAUGUAUCUGGUCAUGGUGCUGAGGAACCUGCUCAGCAUCCUGGCUGUCAGCUCUGUCUCUCCCCUCCACACCCCCACCUGUGCUGGGCUGACAUCGGUUUCACCUUGGCCACGGUUCCCAAGAUGAUUGUGGACAUGCAGUCGCAUAGCAGAGUCAUCUCUCAUGCGGGCUGUCUGACGCAGAUGUCUUUCUUCAUCCUUUUUGCAUGUAUAGAAGGCAUGCUCCUGACUGUGAUGGCCUAUGACUGCUUUGUAGCCAUCUGUCGCCCUCUGCACUACCCAGUCAUCGUGAAUCCUCACCUCUGUGUCUUCUUCGUUUUGGUGUCCUUUUUCCUUAGCCUGUUGGAUUCCCAGCUGCACAGUUGAAUUGUGUUACAAUUCACCAUCAUCAAGAAUGUGGAAAUCUCUCAUUUUUUCUGUGACCCCUCUCAACUUCUCAAACUUGCCUGUUCUGACAGCGUCAUCAAUAGCAUAUUCAUAUAUUUCGAUAGUACUAUGUUUGGUUUUCUUCCCAUUUCAGGGAUCCUAUGGUCUUACUAUAAAAUCAUCCCCUCCAUUCUAAGGAUUUCAUCAUCAUAUGGGAAGUAUAAAGCCUUCUCCACAUGUGCCUCUCACCUAGCAGUUGUUUGCUGAUUUUAUGUAACAGGCAUUGGCAUGUACCUGACUUCAGCUGUGUCACCACCCCCCAGCAAUGGUGUAGUGGCGUCAGUGAUGUAUGCUGCGGUCACUCCCAUGCUGAACCCUUUCAUCUACAGCCUGAGAAACAGGGACAUACAAAGUGCCCUGCGGAGGGUGCUCAGCAGAACAGUCGAAUUUCAUGAUCUGUUCCAUCCUUUUUCUUG